GGUGCACCCCCCACUAAGAAAAAUCCUGGAUCCGCCCCUGCGACACAGGACCAAUGCAUACAUGUAGACAUUUAUUGUGAUUUUAAAAGUUCUCGAUCGGAGGAAACAAAUAACAAGUGAAAGGGGAUAAAAGUAGUAGGAGUGAUGCAGCUAAGCAUUAAUGAUGGCUUUGUAAAUUGCAGGUCGGUGUCUUUUAUCUUUGCAACUGGUGGCAUGGCAUUUCUACUCCUUUCAUUCUGUUACUUGGUGAUAGAUGUGUUGGGCUGGUGGAAUGGAGCGCCAUUUUGUUACCCAGGAAUGAAUUCUAUUUUAGUUUACGUUGGAAGUGAAAUAUUAGGGAAUUACUUUCCAUUCAGCUGGACAGUUAGCGGUCACAUGCAACAUGCUGAUCUACUGGCAAUGAACUUGGUUGGAACUACAGUCUGGCUCGUCAUCUCUUACUACCUUUAUUGUAUCAAGUUCUUCGUGAAAAUAUAGAUUAUUGUAGCAAUAACUAAGGGAAAUUACUGAAGAGACUGCGGAUAAUAUCUGGUUGAAGUGGCUCUCUAAUAACUGUCCAGAGCCAAAGUUAUAACACAACGCAUUUUUACAGCCAAUCAAAAUUCAAAUCAAUUCAUAUUAUCUGUGACAAGCGCGGGAAAAUGUGUAGCGUGUGGAAAGCGCGGGAAAAUAUGUAGCGUGUGGCAAGCGCGGGAAAAUACGUAGCCUAUGGCAGGCGCGGGAAAGUGGUUUUUGGUUUUGCAUCUGAUUGGCUUUGACCUUUUGUAAGCCGUUUUAUGAGAGGAAUUUAAAGGCUUAGUAGACACAAAACCGAAGUCAGUGGGAAAAAAAAAAAUACUAUCGAAGAAAAUGAAAAUAGGCAGUUGCAAUGUGACUACUCCAACCAAGGCCACCCGAGCAAACUCUUUGCAAAUUGACCAAUAAAGUGUUAAAGCAAUAAGAAUGCAUGGUCACAAUCGUUUUUUGUUCGGUAGUGUCUACCUUACUCAUAGCGAGAAUUUGUCGGAAUGCUUUUGUUAACAUCCAAGGUUUUCAUUCAGCAAUUUGAGCGUAACCCUUGGGUGGAAUAGUCGCACUGGGAUAGUAUUUGAACUGAAGAUAUUCAUAAAUUUGUUCUCGCUUCAUUUCUUUAUAGAUUUCGUAACAUAAUGCCAGGCCAUAUCACUUUUUGGUUUGGUUUAAUAUGAUAAAGAAAUACAAUUAUUUUUUGAGAAUAAAUUAUGGUUUCUCUUUAGCCUAAUAGUAGUGAAUCGCAAGUAUUGGCAAAGAUUGACUCAGGGAUAGGAGUUAUUCUUUAGGAAAUUAAAAGACCAAAUUUUAGUCGUAUAUCCGAGGAGGAUUUUCAGAAAUAAUACUUCAGGUAAACAUUUUGUAGUUCCUGUUUUUGAAGGAAAUGUAUAUAGAUAAUUAAACGUUUCUCAGAAUGGAAGUGUAUGCCAAGUAUGUUCGAUUUAAAGUUGGCUACAUGUGUGCCAAAGUAGUGGAGAAUAAAUGUUCUCUGAACUGAA